AUGAUUGAAUAUCCUUUGACAUCGAGAAAAAUGUUACAAUAUCACAAUUUGUGUUUACUAUAUUUACAAAUCCAGUUAUAUAUUUUUGAUAUGAUUUUGAAUGGGAAAAUUUUACUUUUACACUUUGUUGGAUACCACUUUUCAACUUUACCAUCAGUCUAAGGACAUUUUCAGAAAUACACACUUUCAUUAAUGAGCAAAAGACAAUAACACCCUUACCUUAUCUUCUUCUCCACUAUUGGUUUCUCUCCCUGUCCUCGAGUCACCGUCAUCUCUCUC
rnacentral:lncRNA from 1 species